CCGCCUUAUAAUUGCCUCGUCACCAUCCCAAAUCUUUGUCUUUCUGCCACGUGUGCAUUAAGGACUAGGAAUACAAUCCAUGGACUUACAGAUCCAUGUAUGCUAUCGGAAAAAAAAGAGUCCAAUAAGAAUGCAUUUCUAUAUCAACCAAAAAGGCCCAUAAUAUUCGGUUUAACCUUGGAAUUGAGCCUUCCGUAUGCCCAAUGGAAAAGUCGCAAGAGUUUGAACCUAGCCCACGAAGAUUCCUAAAAAUUAUUGGAUACUUUCGUCUUCUUAAUUCUUACCAGCCCAUACCCUCCUCCUUCUUGAAACCCUAAUUGGCUCUUCUUUUUCGCAUAACAUCUUCAUCACAGCGCCGUAAUCUUGAGAGCUACCAACUCAAUCAUGGGUAUGCAUCCCCCCCCUUCUUCUUCCUCCUUAUGAUGUGUAACCCUAAUUUCUGCUUGCUUCAAAAUGUUAUGAAUUUUAUGCACAGGUUUAUAUAUGUGUUCAUUUGUUUAUCCGGUUAGUUUUCGUUCAAGUUGUGCAAUAUAAUUUUGGGUUUUAUGUUUUUAGUUAUGAAAGAUAAUGGGGCUUAUGAAUGAUAGAUGAUAAGAUAAUCUUGGUUUUAGUUUAUGGCUCUGUGUAUAUCGUACGUACAUUUCACAUCCGUAGAAUCAAGUGUUUCUGUAGAGGUAUGACUUUUGAUGACGUAUACGCUAUUCUAUCCACAAAUGGUACUUUUAUGAUAUGAGGUUUCAGCUUCUCUUGUAGUUUAAUUUAUGAUUGCACACACAAAUGUAUAGUCCAUAGCUUAUUGGAAUCUGAUAAUUUUUGCUUACUUUGAUUGUGGGAUUUCAUCAAGGGCUUACACUUAUGUGUCAGAGCUCUUGAGGAAGAAACAAUCAGAUGUGAUGAGGUUUUUGUAUAAUCUGUUACGUUUCAGGUUCAUGAAGGAAAUAAGAUUUCAUUCUCGGAGCACCUAAAUAUGAAAUGACACCAAUUGUAUGUGCAGUUUCACUAUACUUCCAAUUCUCCAUUUAUUUUCUUGUUUUUUUCCUAUUCUGUCUCAAAAUUUGGAAAAUGUGCAUACAUAAAACUUUUUAAAUUAUAAGUGGCCCAGGAUUUUAGCCCAUGUAUGUUGUAAAAAGGCAAGCACUAGUGGAAGCAUGAUGUAGAUGAUUUUUAUAGGAAUGAACUGUUAUUGGCCAACCAAUAUUGAUUAUGAAACUGAUGCUUUUAUAUUGUGGUGUAUUGUGUACCAGAAAACUCAGUUUUUGUGAUGGGUGAUAAUCGCAACAACGACUAUGAUUCGCAUAUAUGGUAUGUAGUCUCAAUCUUCAGCUCGUAAAUGCUUUUCACAAGAUAUUAUUUUUCAAGUAUUUUUGCAUGCUUUUUGAAGAUAACUCAUCCCCUUAUUAAAUUGAAUGCAAUGAUGGGAAAUAUUUUUGGCAAUGAAAAGUGGAGUACUUGUUCUAACUUGUGCUAUAACCAGGUUGGAGAGUGAUUAUGCAUUGAUGUGCCAACCAUAUUUAUUGUUUAGUCACUCAAAUUGAACAAGAAAUUGGUGGUCUUCAGGAAACGUAGACAAGUUUCAGACUUCAGUCCUCUACUCUUCCUGUGGUCCUCCCUUCCCUCCAUUAAUCAAUGCAUGCUAUUAAUCAAUUUGGAUUUGUAGCAAAUGAUAUUGUGAUUGUCUAUUUGUCUUUUUCUGCUUAUGAGCAAUACGGUGUACGUUAGUAACACGUAGCAACUUUAUUGUCUUUGUGUAUUGAUUUUGGCACUAAGUGUCUCUGGUGACCUAUGUGUUUCAUUUUUUUGACUUGCUAUUAUUUUUAAAUAUGUGCAGAAAGACUGCUUCUAUGACCCGUCUUACAAUACUGGGUAUCAAAUUUCUGUGCUACGUUUACGGAAGACAAGAGACAAAAUUAUGAAGUGUACUCUCUAUAUAUGUAGAUAUAUACUUUAAUUGAAGAACUGUGGUAGCUUUAGAUGGUUAAUUGUAAAGAUAAUGAAUGAUUAUGUAGUGAAUGAUUUUAUUAAGUUAAUAAUAUUUUAGUAUUUUGUAUUUUUUUAUUAUUUGCUAUUGGGACAUUGAGCCAGUCAGGUAC
rnacentral:lncRNA from 1 species